rnacentral:rRNA from 1 species
UACGUAGGGGGGCGAGCGUUUGUCCGGAUUUAUUGGGCGUAAAGAGCUCGUAGGCGGCUCGGUAAGUCAGGUGUGAAACCUCCAGGCUCAACCUGGAGACGCCACCUGAUACUGCCGUGGCUAGAGUCCGGUAGAGGAGCGUAGAAUUCCUGGUGUAGCGGUGAAAUGCGCAGAUAUCAGGAGGAACACCAGCGGCGAAGGCGGCGCUCUGGGCCGGAACUGACGCUGAGGAGCGAAAGCGUGGGUAGCAAACAGG